rnacentral:tRNA from 1 species
UGUGUGUAAUUUAAAAAAAAUAUCAAACUGUGACUCUGACAAUAGGAGACUCCUCACACAG